UACGUAGGGUGCAAGCGUUGCCCGGAUUUAUUGGGCGUAAAGGGCGCGUAGGCGGCUCUGCACGUUCGUUGUGAAAUCGCCCGGCUCAACUGGGCGGGGUCAGCGGAUACGGCAGAGCUUGAGCAAGCUAGGGGGCAAUGGAAUUCCCGGUGUAGUGGUGGAAUGCGUAGAUAUCGGGAGGAACACCAGCGGCGAAGGCGGGCACCUGGGCCAACACUGACGCUGAUGCGCGAAAGCUAGGGGAGCAAACAGGG
rnacentral:rRNA from 1 species